rnacentral:misc_RNA from 1 species
UGUAGCUUGGGCAGUCUUGAGUCCCUUGCCGUAACGGUGCGUGAGUGGUGUUUGGCAUGUUACGGGCGCUUGGAUGCCUGCUGGAGCAGCAACUUUCGUGCGUUCAUGCCUUUUCAUUUGUGCGUCAAGGUUUAUUGUUCCUUGGCUUUCGUUGGGUUUCCUGUGUUGCCUACCUAUGCAAAGGUAUUGUCGCGUUUACAAAUGUCCCUUUUCAUCAUGCGCUGCUCAUGGGGCGUAGGAUGAACCUCGAAGCAUGCUUUUUGAUCCCUCUAAACGAUUUACAAUCGUUUUGGAAAGGGCUCAUUGAGUGUUUGCUUGGUUUCUUGGGUACGGUACCUUACACGGGUAGUGGGGUCUCGAUGGCCUCGUGUUACCCUUUUGAAGAAGCGUUCUCGCUUUUGAUAAACGACAGCCGAUCCACUAUGGGCUCUUGUCCGUAUGGCUCGGCUUCGUCGAAAGAGGAAUGC